GGCCGGCAGGGAAGGCAGCGCUGAGGGAAGGCGACGGUUUUACCCUGCGCUGCCAGGCUGCUGCCCUGCGGCCCGUCGCCGGGUACGUCUAGUCCCGCGGGGACGUGUGGCUGCCAGGAACCGGGCAGGAUUUACGUGUUGACAAGGCAGCCGACUCUGACGGAGGGAGCUACGCGUGCGGGGUCUGGGUCUCCGGCCCCGGCUGGGCGUAUCUGAGCCUCUCUCCCAGGGAAUCGGUCCAAGUUCAGAGCUCCGGCAGGUGCCCAUGUCUGAGCCCCGGCCUCGUGGCCGGCGUUGCGGUUGCCCUCCUGCUCCUCGUCGCCCUCGUUAACGUGGGGGUUUGGUACCUGCUCGGCAGAGGCCGGUGGCAGGCAGCAGCUGAGGGCGCUGCACAGGGUGCUGAGCUUUCCCGCAGGCCAAAACCAGAGUCACCCUAUGAGGAACUCCAAGGACGGACCCAGGAUAUUUACAGCCAGUUGGACUCUCCCCGAGCUGGUUCCCGCUGAGCUCUGC